rnacentral:lncRNA from 1 species
CCCAAAUGUCCCCCUUCACUUUUCUGCUUUAAUUGACACACAGGCAUUCCCUGAGUGUGUGUCUUUCUUUUAAGCCAUUGUAGCUGUUACAUUCUCUCCUAGAGAUAGAAGGUGUUUACCUUGCUCCCCUAAGUCACUCUUAGACCAAAUCUCUUCCCUUCUCAAAUUCUACCUGCUACUCUUCCUUGUUAGACCAUCUAGUGACCUUCGUGAGACCCCUCACUUAGUGACUCCAUGACCCUACUGUGGGCGAGCAGUUCCUUGCCCUCCCUUCUCAUCCAAUUUAGAAUCCAUGACUCAUCGUCCUAAUCAGGCUCACGUAAAUACUCACUUGACUGUCUCUCUCCCCCAUCCCACUUGACUAGGAAAGCCCCUGAAUAAACUCAACCAUUCGCUUUUUCAGUUCCUGAUUCUUUUUUUUUUUUUUUUUAAAGAUUUUAUUUUUUUCCUUUUUCUCCCCAAAGCCCCCCGGUACAUAGUUGUAUAUUCUUUGUUGUGGGUCCUUCUAGUUGUGGCAUGUGGGAUGCUGCCUCAGCGUGGUUUGAUGAGCAGUGUCAUGUCCGCAACCAGGAUUCGAACCAACGAAACACUGGGCCGCCUGCAGCGGAGCGCGCGAACUUAACCGCUCGGCCACGGGGCCAGCCCUCAGUUCCUGAUUCUUGAAAGCAGAGAAGAGCUUUAGCACUUUAAAUGUGUGUCUGCCAACUUCAAAUGCAUUUCAAAAUUCACACCUGUCCCAAGUGAGUGUCUGCCUUGGCCCCAGAGGUGAGGAGAAACUGCUGUGUCAUCAGGCCCUAAAUAAACUCUGAGAUCCGUAAUUUUGAAGUUCAUGUCCCCAUUGUGCUCUCACGCUCUCCACAGCGCCCCACGAGGCCAAACGGGGCAAACUCAAGCCCUGCCUUCAGCGUCCCAACUAAGGCGCUUCAGUCCCUCACCAAAACCGAAUUCCCACGGCAUGCAAAAUGACCAAAAAAGUGGAAAAGAGCAACUCAAUCAAGGUUUAGAGGGGAAAUUCAGAUAGAACUGUUUGAGACCAGAUUUUCUGCUUUGGAUUCUUGUUGUUUUUAUUCGUUACUUAGAAGAAAGUUCUAAGGAGAAAAGAAGAUGUAUGCAUUGUAUGCAUACUUAGGAAAAGAAAUUUCCUUUUAUAACAACACAUCAUUUUGUAUAAAAACCAAUAUAUCAGGAAAAUAAAAUGUUAGAGAAUGUUGUAUAAUAAAGCA